rnacentral:rRNA from 1 species
CAAUAGCGUAUAUUUAAGUUGUUGCAGUUAAAAAGCUCGUAGUUGGAUUUCGGUUAAGAGCGACCGGUCCGCCGUUUGGUGUGCACUGGUUGGUUUUAACUUCCUGUAGAGGACGUGCUCUGGGUUUAACGACCUGGACUCGGAGUCUACGUGGUUACUUUGAAAAAAUUAGAGUGUUCAAAGCGGGCUUACGCUUGAAUAUUUCAGCAUGGAAUAACACUAUAGGACUCCUGUCCUAUUUCGUUGGUCUCGGGACGGGAGUAAUGAUUAAGAGGAACAGUUGGGGGUAUUCGUAUUUCAUUGUCAGAGGUGAAAUUCUUGGAUUUAUGAAAGACGAACUUCUGCGAAAGCAUUUGCCAAGGAUGUUUUCAUUAA